CCUACGGGGGCAGCAGUGGGGAAUAUUGGACAAUGGGCGAAAGCCUGAUCCAGCCAUGCCGCGUGUGUGAAGAAGGCCUUCGGGUUGUAAAGCACUUUCAGUGGGGAAGAAAGCCUUGGGGCUAAUACCCUCGAGGAAGGACAUCACCCACAGAAGAAGCACCGGCUAACUCCGUGCCAGCAGCCGCGGUAAUACGGAGGGUGCGAGCGUUAAUCGGAAUUACUGGGCGUAAAGCGCGCGUAGGCGGUCUGAUAAGCCGGUUGUGAAAGCCCCGGGCUCAACCUGGGAACGGCAUCCGGAACUGUCAGGCUAGAGUGCAGGAGAGGAAGGUAGAAUUCCCGGUGUAGCGGUGAAAUGCGUAGAUAUCGGGAGGAAUACCAGUGGCGAAGGCGGCCUUCUGGACUGACACUGACGCUGAGGUGCGAAAGCGUGGGUAGCAAACAGGAUUAGAUACCCCAGUAGUC
rnacentral:rRNA from 1 species